rnacentral:rRNA from 1 species
AUUGAACGCUGGCUGCAUGCCUUACACAUGCAAGUCGAACGGCAGCACGGGAGCAAUCCUGGUGGCGAGUGGCGAACGGGUGAGUAAAGUAUCGGAACGUGCCCAGUCGUGGGGGAUAACGUAGCGAAAGUUACGCUAAUACCGCAUACGAUCUAUGGAUGAAAGCGGGGGAUCGCAAGACCUCGCGCGAUUGGAGCGGCCGAUAUCAGAUUAGGUAGUUGGUGGGGUAAAGGCUCACCAAGCCGACGAUCUGUAGGUGGUCUGAGAGGACGACCAGCCACACUGGGACUGAGACAGGGCCGAGACUCCGACGGGAGGCAGCAGUGGGGAAUUUUGGACAAUGGGCGAAAGCCUGAUCCAGCCAUGCCGCGUGCAGGAUGAAGGCCUUCGGGUUGUAAACUGCUUUUGUACGGAACGAAAAGGUUUGGCCUAAUAAGCUGAGCUCAUGACGGUACCGUAAGAAUAAGCACCGGCUAACUACGUGCCAGCAGCCGCAGUAA